rnacentral:rRNA from 1 species
AGCGGAGGAAAAGAAAUCAACUGAGAUUGCCUCAGUAACGGCGAGUGAAGCGGCAAGAGCCCAUAAUGUAAAUCUCCACGCUCUGGUGUGGCGAGUUGUACAGUGUAGGGAGGUUGCUCAACCGACGCGGGCGCAGAACUGCCUUAGAACAGGCGGCCAGAGAGGGUGACAGCCCCGUAUGUGGUGCCAGCGUCGAACGAGUGGCUUUUUCUGAGAGUCGGGUUGUUUUGUAUUGCAGCCCUAAGCGGGAGAUAAACUUCUUCUAAGGCUAAAUAUUUACGGGAAACCGAUAGCGAACAAGUACUGUGAAGGAAAGAUGAAAAGCACUUUGAAAAGAGAGUCAAAAGACUUGAAAUCGUUGAGAAGGAAGCGGAUGAUCGUUGAUCAAUGGGCAGUGAACGGUGGUUUCUAUCUAAGUACGGCUUGGUUCAGGCACGUUAAUGGCCGGGCUGGGUCUGUGCGGAAAUGGAGGCUUUGUUCACUGUUUCUGAGGCAAAAUGGGGUUGCUUCGACUCAAAAGCCUGCCAGGGCUGCCCUGAUUCGUCGGGGACUCUGGUGGUGCUGGAGGCGGAGUGGCUCGAGGAGCUUCGUGCGAUUUUGCCAAAAUGCGAUUAUCCGACCCGUCUUGAAACACGGACCAAGGAGUCUAACAAGUAUGCGAGUAUGGUGGUGGAGAAACCAACAUGCAUAACCAACGUGAUCGAUGCCAAGCGCAAGCAGCAGCAUCGGCCGACCAUGAUUCUUUGAUGAAAGGUUCGAGCAAGAGCAUACCUGUUAGGACCCGAAAGAUGGUGAACUAUGCCUGAGCAGGGUGAAGCCAGGGGAAACUCUGGUGGAAGCUCGUAGCGUUACUGACGUGCAAAUCGUUCGUCUGACUUGGGUAUAGGGGCGAAAGACUAAUCGAACCAUCUAGUAGCUGGUUCCCUCCGAAGUUUCCCUCAGGAUAGCAAGGACAAUAAUGCAGUUUUAUCAGGUAAAGCGAAUGAUUAGAGGCCUCGGGGAUCCAGUAUCCUCGACCUAUUCUCAAACUUUAAAUUGGUAAGAACUCUGGCCUUCCUUAAUUGAGGCGCAGAGGCUCAAUGCGUGUCCUUAGUGGGCCAUUUUUGGUAAGCAGAACUGGCGAUGAGGGCUGCUCCUAACGUCGAGUUAAGGUGCCUAACUGCACGCUCAUCAGACACUACAAAGGGUGUUGGUUCAUACAGACAGCAGGACGGUGGCCAUGGAAGUCGGAACCCGCUAAGGAGUGUGUAACAACUCACCUGCCGAAUGAACUAGCCCCGAAAAUUGAUGGCGCUUAAGCGUGUGACCGAUACUCGACCAUUGCGGCGAGAGUGAUGCUGCAAUGAGUAGGAGGGCGUGAGCGUUGUUGUGAAGCCUCUGACGUGAGUCUGGGUAGAACAGCGCUUAGUGCAGAUCUUGGUGGUAGUAGCAAUUAUUCAAAUGAGAACUUUGAAGGCCGAAGUGGAGAAGGUUUCCGUGAGAACAGCAAUUGGUCACGGGUGACUCGAUCCUAAGUGUCAGGGGAAACCCGUCGCACAGCAUUAUUUCAAUGCGUGGACGAAAGGGAAUGAGGUUAAUAUUCCUCAAGCUGGAUGUGGAUAUUGUAUGGUAACAUAAAUGAGCUCAGAGACGCCGGCGUGAGCCUCUGGAAGAGUUCUCUUUUCUUUUUAACAGGCUAGCGACCUUGAAAUUGGUUUACCCAGAGCUAAGGUUGCAUGCCUGGAAGAGCACCUCGCUUCUUGGGGUGUCAGGUGCGCUCACGACGGCCCUUGAAAAUCU